AUUCCUGGAGUUAACACUAGGUGCUAAAAUGGAGGGGAAGCCAUUUGGUUGAACAAACGCCCAGCGAAGAGAGCUCUCUUUGCGGAAGGAGUCCAAAUGAGUUGUGGGAACCUGGGAGCCAACAAGGGCACAUCCUGCGAUUUACCUCCCUGAACUGCUGAGGGGCCGGAGGUUCAGGGACAAGGAUCUAGUCGGACGCAAGCCCG
rnacentral:lncRNA from 1 species